CACCUUGUCCUCACGGUCCAGUUUUCCCAGGAAUCCCUUACAUGCUAAGACGGGGAUUCCUGGAAAUACUGUUCUUGAGGUCAUGGUU
ensembl:miRNA MIR145 microRNA 145